GAUGAACGCUGGCGGCGUGCCUAAUACAUGCAAGUCGAGCGAACAGACGAGGAGCUUGCUCCUCUGACGUUAGCGGCGGACGGGUGAGUAACACGUGGAUAACCUACCUAUAAGACUGGGAUAACUUCGGGAGACCGGAGCUAAUACCGGAUAAUAUAUUGAACCGCAUGGUUCAAUAGUGAAAGACGGUUUUGCUGUAACUUAUAGAUGGAUCCGCGCCGCAUUAGCUAGUUGGUAAGGUAACGGCUUACCAAGGCAACGAUGCGUAGCCGACCUGAGAGGGUGAUCGGCCACACUGGAACUGAGCCACGGUCCAGACUCCUACGGGAGGCAGCAGUAGGGAAUCUUCCGCAAUGGGCGAAAGCCUGACGGAGCAACGCCGCGUGAGUGAUGAAGGUCUUCGGAUCGUAAAACUCUGUUAUUAGGGAAGAACAAAUGUGUAAGUAACUAUGCACGUCUUGACGGUACCUAAUCAGAAAGCCACGGCUAACUACGUG
rnacentral:rRNA from 1 species